rnacentral:rRNA from 1 species
UACGAAGGAUCCAAGCGUUAUCCGGAAUCAUUGGGUUUAAAGGGUCCGUAGGCGGGCAGCUAAGUCAGUGGUGAAAGUCUGUAGCUCAACUAUAGAAUUGCCAUUGAUACUGGUUGUCUUGAAUUAUUAUGAAGUGAUUAGAAUAAGUAGUGUAGCGGUGAAAUGCAUAGAUAUUACUUAGAAUACCAAUUGCGAAGGCAGAUCACUAAUAAUAUAUUGACGCUGAUGGACGAAAGCGUGGGGAGCGAACAGG